rnacentral:rRNA from 1 species
CCUACGGGAGGCAGCAGUGGGGAAUAUUGCGCAAUGGGCGAAAGCCUGACGCAGCGACGCCGCGUGAGGGAUGAAGGUCUUCGGAUCGUAAACCUCUGUCAGCAGGGAAGAACGGACACUGUGCUAAUCAGCAGUGAAUUGACGGGACCUGCAAAGGAAGCACCGGUUAACUCCGGUCCAGCAGCCGCGGUAAUACGGAGGGUGCGGGCGUUAAUCGGAAUUAGUGGGCGUAAAGCGCUCGUAGGGGGUAUGACAAGUCAAGGGUGAAAUCCCCGCGCUCAACGUGGGAACUGCCUUUGAAACUGGCAAACUGGAGUGUGUGAGAGGAUAGUGGAAUUCCAGGUGUAGGAGUGAAAUCCGUAGAUAUCUGGAGGAACAUCAGUGGCGAAGGCGACUAUCUGGCACAUAACUGACGCUGAGGAGCGAAAGCGUGGGUAGCAAACAGGAUUAGAUACCCGAGUAGUC